UUCAAACAUCAUACGUUUUUCUUCAUUUUCCUUUGAUGUUGUUGAGAAUUAUGGACUAUGAAGUGUAAAUAUCAAACUGCUUAUGCGGGACUUGUUCCUUCAAUUGAUAUUCCAACACUCUCCUCCCCCCGCAAAAACUGAAAACCAGUACAUUCAGUUGACACUUGAAGCUGAAAUGGAGCUGCAAUACCGAGAAAUGGAACUAAAACUGAAACCAGGUUAUAAUACCAUGUUGAGAAUUAUGGACCAACGAGUGUGAAUAUCAAACUGGCAAG
rnacentral:misc_RNA from 1 species